UUCGCAGGGGGUUUUGUAAGUCUGACGUGAAAUUUCAAGGCUCAACCUUGAACGUGCGUUGGAAACUGCAGGACUUGAGUAUCGGAGAGGAAAGCGGAAUUCCUGGUGUAGCGGUGGAAUGCUUAGAUAUCAGGAGGAACAUCGAUGGCGAAGGCAGCUUUCUGGACGAUUACUGACCCUCAUGAACGAAGGCGUGGGUAGCAAACA
rnacentral:rRNA from 1 species